GCCUGGGUGGCGAAAUUGGUAAACGCAGUGGACUUAAAAUCCACCGCCUACGGCUUACGGGUUCGAGUCCCGUCCCAGGCACCA
rnacentral:tRNA from 1 species